GACAGAGGGUGCAAACGUUGUUCGGAAUUACUGGGCGUAAAGCGUGUGUAGGCGGCCACGUAAGUCGGAUGUGAAAGCCCUGGGCUCAACCCAGGAAGUGCACUCGAUACUGCGUGGCUUGAGUACUGGAGAGGUUGGUGGAAUUCUCGGUGUAGAGGUGAAAUUCGUAGAUAUCGAGAGGAACACCGGUGGCGAAGGCGGCCAACUGGACAGAUACUGACGCUGAGACACGAAAGCGUGGGGAGCAAACAGG
rnacentral:rRNA from 1 species